AUAGCUAGUCCUUCUAAAGCUUUAGCCAGUGGGAAAGAGUUUGUGUUUCAAUCCUUGGAACUCCAAGUGGGACCUCUUAGAAGAUUUAUAAGGAGCCAAGCUGUCAGGAAAGCAGAAACAACACAUGGACUCCAUGACUGGGAAAAACCUCGUGGUGGCCUGCUCUCCAGUGCUUGGAAGUGUGCUCGAUACGUCUUGGAGAAUGUCAUGCUAAUGGAACCGGCACAGGCUGUGAUCUCCUCAGACUGGCUCCCUUCACCUGGCGCCAUACGUGUGAGGAACUUCCACGUGGUUCCCUCCCUGAGUGGUUUGGCAGUUCGAACUGGAGGAGGAGCACUGUGCUUCAUGGAUGUCCCGCAUUGUGUGAGGCCCCUCCUCCAGCUGAAGGAUGUUUGGGUUACUCGGAAGAAGUUAUGUGUUUCACAUCUUAACAUUUGCCGGAAAUAGGAAGUCUGACUCAAGUGUUGGCGGGCUUGUGGGACACAGGAUUCUGGGUCCCAGCUAGUGAGUGUGAGGUCGCUACACAGACCAGCUUGGCUGCGUGUCAUGAAAUUGGAAACACAUGUGUAACCCCCACGCAGAAGUAAAUCUGAGGAUUCUCAGUUUGGACCGCAGUGCUACUUCAGGAUGUGUGAAGAAGGAUGCGAACGCCUGAUUUUCUUAACUCCACCAUGGUAAGAAGAUGCCCCCCAGCAGGCUGUGCUUGCAGACAACAUGGCGCCUCUCCUGAGAUUUCCUGGACCCCAUGGAUUUACAGUAAGACAGUUUCCUGGGCAGUCAUUCGGGUGGAUGCAAAUUCUGGAGUAAUACACCUGACUUGCCUUGAACGUUACAAGUGACCGAAUGAAUGGAUUCUUCCUGCCUGGAUGCCCACUGGGAACAAGGACCAUAGCUGAGAACCAUAGCUGAGAGGACUGUAUCUCUACCUUUGACUCAAUGGGAAUAUUUGCUCAGAUCUCUCUGGCUAUCUGGAGCUCUCUCUAAAAAUCAUAUCCUCUAAGUGUUCCAGAAGGAUUUUGAGAACCACCCUUUCCUAAAUAAAAGCUGGAAUAUUUGAGGAUUUGGAAAGUUGAGGCUUCGAAGAAAUCAAGAGCAGAGAAAGAUUGAAAUGGACCUUUGCGAUUACAGCUUGGAGCUGACAUUAUCAGUUAAGUUUGGGCAGAUCUGACUUAAUUGAUUAAUUUAGUCAUUGGAGCAGAGACAACCCAGAAGCUGGGAUCAGCAUCCCCAUCUGACAUUGUGCUGAUGAGAAGUAUUGCCUUAACAGAUGCCAAGUCUUACUUGAUGUCACACAGAUGAUAAAUAGCAGCGGUGGAAGUCUUCAUGCUAGAGACAAUUCUAUAAGACAGCCAAGUCCUCCAGAAAGGAGACAGACUUGCUCAGGUGAUAGAUCCAGCCAUGAUACUGGCCCUAAGAGAAUGGGAUGCUCUGCAGAAGACAGAAGAUUCCUGAAACGUGGAAAAGUACCUAGAAUCCUAGAGAAGAGUGAAGAAGGCAUCUUCCCUCCCCUGCCUAGGCAUCUUGCAGCAUGUUCAAUACUUUCUAUAGGACUCUGGUCAUUGGCUAAGCUGUCCUCUUUCAAUUUAGUUGGAUGGAAUAUUAGGCUGGAAAGUUUACUUUCAAUUAACUCACUUGUUGAACCGCCUCGAUCUUCAAAGGAUCCCAUUAAGAUAAUUAUAGCCAUUGCUACAAGGUUAUGCUGGCUGGCCAGAAAGCUGCAGGCAUUCUCUUGUCUUGGUCUCCUGGCAUUGUGAUUAAACAGCUGGCAGAGCACCCUUUCCCAGGACUAUGAAAGAUAUCCAACAGAAAGCAAGUCUCCAUCUCUUUUCCAGCUUUGAUGUCUCUUCAUCUCAUAACUGAGGUGUCUGAUGUCUUCAACACUGGUAUUAACAAGUUCUGGGUACCUGGAGGUGCAGCAGCCAUGUUGAACGUAUGGGGUGAUGAUAAGCCCUGCAACUAGAAACCAGAAUGGAAAAACAGGAGAAGCUGGAUCCUUGACUCAGUUUUUGAUGGGAUAGUCCUUCAGCCCAGGGCUGAGACCACCUCCAGAUUUCUUGUUUGGUGAAACAAUUCCUGACUGUUUACAUUCCUUUAUGUUGAGCUGUGUCUUACUUGUAACUGAAAGAAUUUCUAAUAGAUAUUCAGAUUAUCUGCACAGCAAGGGGCAGCCAGAGCUCUGGGAUUUCAACCUAGAAUACUCUAUGUGACCAUAGAUAAGUCUCUUAGCUUCUUCAUGAAUUCCUUUGCUCAUCUGUGUAAUGCUCAAUAAAAGUAAAUUGAACCCUGAAUGAGGGACAGUGGCACAAUUGAAGUCAUGAUUGUCAAUCUUAUUAACUGACUAAAUACUUAACAAGAAGUUUGGAACAUAGCCUGACACACAGAAACCAGCUGUGGAAAGGUUUGCAAAUGGAAUGAGAAGAAAUGCACUCAUUUUUAUAGGCUUUCUUUCACAUCUUGAUCCAUCCUGAAGCCUCUGUGGUUUUUAAGCAGAACCUUGACCCCUUCACUACUGGGGCUCAUGGAGCAUGAAACGCCCCCCAAACUCUGUCUCAAAACACCCAUUCUAGUAGUUUCUUUUUGACACAAAAGACUUCUUAGAGAAGGCUGGCUUGUGAAAAAGGGGCUGUGACCACCAAAUCGUGUCAGUAGAUGACCAAAAUACCCAAAGCAAUUCAUGCAAAUAGAUUCAGGUCUCUCUGGGUGAGCCUUCUGGAAGGCUCUAGAAUUUUUGAAGCCCAUUUUUGAAAGGGUCUUUCCAUCUGGUGGCCUUUUUUUUGCACCUCCUCCCAUCUUUCUCAUUACAGGUAGAGGGAUGGGGGGAGGAUUAGUGCUUGGGCUCU